rnacentral:snoRNA from 1 species
GUGCUGUGAUGUUUCUGACAACCCUUCAUUCUGAAGAAAAAAAUGUGGUAACUUCUAAAACUGAGCACA